rnacentral:rRNA from 1 species
ACCCUCAGCUAUAAAUUAGACUGAUGAACUUCUUAAGCAGGGUCAAGCCUGGCCAGUACCUGGAUGGGAGACCAUGGGGAAAACUAAGGUUGCUGCUGGAA